rnacentral:lncRNA from 1 species
GAUCCCAGGGACGCCCCCACAGGUAGACGAAGAGGGUCCAGAGAAAGGUGGGGAUUCCCUAACCCCUUCUUUCUUGGCACAGACAGGCAGAGAACACCUCUUUUCUCACCCCUGGGCAGCCCCAGGAAGUCAAUCCUUCCACUAUUCCUGCUCCGUGCCUCUCUUCCCUCUGCCCAGAUUCCUGGGAGACUCAAAACCCUGUUCAACUCUCUCUGGGCUAGCUGCUCCCCUCCCCAAGAGGAUUUCUCUCCAGAGCUGGUAUCAUCGCUUAAUGAUGUUCCACCAACAAGGGGAAGGGUCCCCACCAGAUACAUACAUAUGGCUAUUGAGCACUUGAAAUGUGUGUAGUCUGAAAUGAUCUGUGCUGUGGCAUCUGUGCUGUGCCUGUCAUUCAUUGAGAACAGUUUGUUUUCUGCUUAUGGAAUCACAAAAAUAUUUAAUCUGAAGCUUCAGUGGUGCAGCCGUCCUUGAGGCUGCAGACCAUAGGAUCCUUCCUUCUCUGUCUGGAUGCACUGGAGGGCCAGCAUUCUCGGAGGUGGCCAGGGUCCUCUGAGAAGCCAGCGCCCAAGUGGUACCUGAGUCCAGUGAACGGCAAGUUUCUUUUCUGGGAGCUGCUAUCACUGAAUACAUAAAGAAAUUGAGCCUAUAUGAUUUCAAUCUUCACCUUCUGAUGCUGAUGAAACAGGAUUCUAUGCAGAGAAAAUCCUCUCCAGUCAAGUAAUUGCAUCCAUUUCAUCUUCCCAGCCCUCCUCUAGAUGGGAGGUGGAGGUGUGUGUACCAAUCUCUUAAUUCAGAAAUGAGACAAGAGGAGGAAAAAGGAGUUCCGGAGGACAGUGGGGACCCCAGCCAGAGCCUGGGGACUUGGCUGCCUUGGAACCAGAACCUGGCCCCUCAGAGGAGUUGCAGAAUUUCGAUAGAGGAGUGGCAGGAGGUGUACUGGCUGAAGAGGAGGCCCAAGGAACUCCUUUUCAUACAUCAAAACUGAGCUUAUCACCUCUACCCUGAAGUCAUCCUGGACAUCACUGGUCCCAGUUAAUCACUCACUUAUCUUUGCCAUCCUUGACCUGGGAAGAGAACGUUGCCCUCAUUGGUCUGGAAUCAGCAGGUACCUCAUGGCUGGAGGUGUAUUUUCAGGUGGG